rnacentral:rRNA from 1 species
UACGGGGGAGCAAGCGUUGUUCGGAUUUACUGGGCGUAAAGGGCGCGUAGGCGGCAAUUCAAGUCAGCUGUGAAAUCUCCGGGCUUAACCCGGAAAGGUCAGCCGAUACUGCGGGCUAGAGUGCAGAAGGGGCAACUGGAAUUCUCGGUGUAGCGGUGAAAUGCGUAGAUAUCGAGAGGAACACCUGCGGCGAAGGCGGGUUGCUGGGCUGACACUGACGCUGAGGCGCGAAAGCUAGGGGAGCGAACGGGA